rnacentral:rRNA from 1 species
AUACGAAGGGUGCGAGCGUUAAUCGGAAUUACUGGGCGUAAAGCGCGCGUAGGCGGUUGGAUAAGUCGGAUGAGAAAGCCCCGGGCUCAACCUGGGAAUUGCAUUCGAAACUGUCCGGCUAGAGUAUGGUAGAGGGAAGCGGAAUUCCACAUGUAGCGGUGAAAUGCGUAGAUAUGUGGAGGAACACCAGUGGCGAAGGCGGCUUCCUGGACCAAUACUGACGCUGAGGUGCGAAAGCGUGGGGAGCAAACAGGAUUAGAUACCCUAGUAGUCC